rnacentral:tRNA from 2 species
GCCCCGGUAGCUCAGUGGAUAGAGCAAGAGCCUUCUAAGCUCUGGGUCGGGGGUUCGAUUCCCUCCCGGGGCGCCA